GAACGCUGGCGGCAGGCCUAACACAUGCAAGUCGAGCGGUAGAGAGGUGCUUGCAUCUCUUGAGAGCGGCGGACGGGUGAGUAAUGCCUAGGAAUCUGCCUAGUGGUGGGGGAUAACGUUCGGAAACGGACGCUAAUACCGCAUACGUCCUACGGGAGAAAGCGGGGGAUCUUCGGACCUCGCGCCAUUAGAUGAGCCUAGGUCGGAUUAGCUAGUUGGUGAGGUAAUGGCUCACCAAGGCGACGAUCCGUAACUGGUCUGAGAGGAUGAUCAGUCACACUGGAACUGAGACACGGUCCAGACUCCUACGGGAGGCAGCAGUGGGGAAUAUUGGACAAUGGGCGAAAGCUGAUCCAGCCAUGCCGCGUGUGUGAAGAAGGUCUUCGGAUUGUAAAGCACUUUAAGUUGGGAGGAAGGGCAGUAAGUUAAUACCUUGCUGUUUUGACGUUACCAACAGAAUAAGCACCGGCUAACUUCGUG
rnacentral:rRNA from 1 species